rnacentral:lncRNA from 1 species
CAGGGCCUUGUAAUAUCUGUUCUCAAAGUCCUGAUGGGAGGUUCAGCUGUUGCCCCAGCUAUGAUUGGUAAAGGGAUAAUUUCUGCUUCAGGAGCUGGAGCUAACACUACCUUCAGGCAGAGUGAGAAUUUUGAUCCCUGGUAGCCAGGAUCCACAUGACUUCUCAGUCUGAAGCAGUUAUAGAAGGUGGACCCUCUGUUCUUCUGUAUCCCUUCACAGAGCUGAGAAUGGUCUCAGGACACAGCAGCUUGGAAGUCUGAGCCUCCUUCCUGAAAUCCCAAGGAAUGACUUUAAUGAAUUUAGAAGUGAUUGUCACCCACACCCCCAGCUCGG